GGUGAAAGACACACUGCAGAAGAAGCUUAUGGCAGCGGGUCACAUCACAUCUGUAGUCAAGACUUAAGCAGAGACUAUUGGAAGCUUAUGCUCAGCACAGUGCCAUCUAUACAGUUCAGAAUCAUAGCCUAGGGAAUGAUGUUUCCCACAAUUGGCAAGUUUUCCCACAUUAAUGAAGUUUAUCAACUAUAGGCUCAGAGGCUGGUCUCCCAGAUGAUUCUAGAUACCACCAAGUUGUCAAUUGAGAUUCGUCAUCACAUCCUUGAAGUGAAUAGUAUAACAAGUUAGCUGGUUGAGGUUCCAUAAGCUUAUAAACAUGACUUGAGAUCCUCAACACUCACAUGAACAGCAGUCAAAGUAAUCAGUAAUCUUAGUGCUGGAGGAAUGGAGACUGGUAGAUCCCAAAGGUUUACAGUUUACUGGCCACAUCUGCCACACAAAUUCCCCAUCUUCCAUAUAUAUACAUAUAUACACAUAUAUGUAUAUAUAUAUAUAAAUGUGUGUGUGUGUGUAUAUAUAUAUAUUAUAUGUAUAUAUAUGACAAAAUCUGAAUCCUGAGGAUAUUAACUGCUUAGAUUGAAAUGUCAAAUAUAGUAUAGGGAAGUUUCUACUCACAGAACUACAAAAGUUCAAUAUUUCUAAUAAAUUUGAACUAGCCCAACAAAUGAUGUGUUCAAAUUCAUAAAAGGGGGACUAUGAAGAAUUUUGAAUUCAAAUACUAAACUAUUGAUUUGAUGAAUUUUCCAUUCUACUAAACUGAAGAAAUUCAGUAUUAGUAAUUUUUCUUCAUAUGUACUUCAGAAGAAUUUGAUAGCUCAGUGUUUGGUCAUGACCAAGACAAGUGACCCCUUGUGACUCUUUAGCAUGUGUAUAGAUAAUAUUCUAACUCUUUUUAAAGCUUUUAUGUAACUUGUUGGAAAAACUCUCCUAAAGAGAAAGAUUUCUGUGUAUACUCCAAUAUAUUACAUAAAACAGACACUCAGGGUGGCUAUUUGUGAAACCAGUCAACUUACAUUUUUUAUAAUCUAAGUAUGGUGAGAUACUGUCUAUCUGAAGGGAUUCUAGGAAUCUGAAUUUUUAAAAAAUUUAUUUAUUUAUUCACUUUACAACCCAAUAUCAGUUCUUCCUCUCCUGCCAGUCUACCCCCUUCACACAAGUCCUCCCUACAUUCCACCUUCCCCUUCUCUUUUGAGUUUUACUCCCCACUAACAUAAUCCCCUCGCAUCAAGUCACUGUGGAAUUAGGGACAUCCUCUCACACUGAGGUCAGACAAGGCUCCCAUUUAGGGGCAUGAGUCAACAGGCUCAGGAAAAGCCCCUGCUCUAAUUGUUGGGGGACCCACAUGAAGACCAAGCUGUUCAUCAGCUACAUAUGUAUAGGAGGCCUCAGUUCAGCCCAUGCUCACUCUUUGGUUGCUAAUGAGUCUCUGGGAGCCCCCAAGGGUCUAAGUUAGUUGACUCUGUUCUUGUAGUGGGGUCUCUAUUCUUUUUGGGUCCUUCAAUCAAUCUCCCAACUGUUCUGUAAGAUUCCCAGAGCUCUAUCUAAUGUUUGGGUGUGGGUCUCUGCAUCUCUUUCUAUUAGCUGCUGGGUAGAGCCUCUUAGAGAAAAGUUAUACUAGAUUCUUGUCUGCAAGCAUAACAGUUUCAUUAGUGGUGUCUGGGAUUGGUUCUUGACCAUGGGAUGUGUCUCAAUUUGGUGCACUCAUUGAUUUGCUGUUCCACCAGUCUCUGUUUUAUCUUUGUCCCUGCAUAUGAAUUUUUAAAACAAAUGGUAAUAACUUUAAAAAGAGGUAGUUCACAGGUUUAACCAAAUAAAUAGCUGUGUGAUCUAAUAGCCUUUAUGAGCUAAAAUAGUUUGCAAUAUAGCCAGGUACAUAACAUACAUUAAUCACUUAAAGACCUUCUGGGUUCAUAGAAAAACUGACAAGUACUAAGAUUGCUUUUAUUCUUAUUUCCCUCAUUAAUAUACAAUCUGCUCCAAAACACCUCACCACAAUGGGGCACUUAUUACAACUUAUGAGUCUUGACAGGCCAUUAAAACCCCAAGUCCAUAGCUUUCCUCAAUGUUUACUCUUGAUGCUAUACAGCAUAUAACCUACCUGAGAAGAUAUAUAGUGCUAUUAGCAUAAAAUUUACAAAGCAAGCAUUAGUGAUAUUAAUAAGGGUUAGCAAUGAUACCUUCUUAAUCAUUGGACAUUGCCUGAACAUUUCAAAGCAAAGGAAUAACAUCCACUCGCUGUGUUGCAAGUAAUUCCCCAUAGGAUAAACAGGGUCUAAGGGAGUGGGUAACUAUGGAAUAGAUGACAUUUCAGAAAUGGUGAACACCACUGAUUGAACCAGGAACUUGUUGUUCAGAGGAUGAAUCACUGUUAAUCAAGAAGUAAUACGUGGUAAAGAGGAAUGCACAUGGUUCUGGGCAUAUAUCCAGAAGAUGUUCCAACCAGUAAGAAGGACAAAUGCUCCACUAUGUUCAUAGCAGCCUUAUUUAUAAUAGCCAGAAGCUGGAAAGAACCCAGAUGCCCCUCAACAGAGGAAUGGAUACAGAAAAUGUGGUACAUUUACACAAUGGAGUACUACUCAGCUAUUAAAAAGAAUGAAUUUAUGAAAUUCCUUGCCAAAUGGAUGGACCUGGAGGGCAUCAUCCUGAGUG
rnacentral:lncRNA from 1 species